CGGCCCUGAGCUCUGCCCGCCUCGCCGCCCCCGGACCCCUCCUCAUAGUCUUGCCGCCACCGUCCUUCUAUUCUUCCCAGACCCAUCCUCCUAGUCUUCCUUCUUUUUGUUUGUUUUUGUUUUUGUUUUUUUUUUUUUAAAUUCUCCUUCCCUCCCGCCCCCCCACCUUUGGUUCUCACCCUGGCUGCGAGCAAAGCGUCUUCAUGAGCGCAGAGGAUGUCCGGAAAGCACUACAAGGGGCCUGAAGUCAGUUGUUGCAUCAAAUAUUUUAUCUUCGGCUUCAAUGUCAUUUUCUGGUUCCUUGGCAUAGCAUUUCUUGGGAUUGGAUUGUGGGCAUGGAAUGAAAAGGGAGUGCUGUCCAAUAUCUCCUCCAUCACUGACCUCGGAGGCUUUGAUCCUGUUUGGCUCUUCCUAGUGGUAGGAGGAGUUAUGUUCAUUUUGGGAUUUGCAGGAUGCAUUGGAGCUUUACGAGAGAACACUUUUCUUCUCAAAUUUUUCUCUGUAUUUCUUGGAAUUAUUUUCUUCUUGGAGCUCACUGCUGGUGUUCUAGCAUUUGUUUUCAAAGACUGGAUAAAGGACCAGCUGUAUUUCUUUAUAAACAACAACAUCAGAGCAUACCGAGAUGACAUUGAUUUACAAAACCUCAUAGACUUCACACAGGAAUAUUGGCAGUGCUGUGGGGCUUUUGGAGCCGAUGACUGGAACCUUAAUAUUUACUUCAAUUGUACAGAUUCCAACGCGAGUCGAGAGCGCUGUGGUGUGCCGUUCUCUUGCUGUACUAAAGACCCUGCUGUUUUUGGAAAGGAACUGUACAUAGUUCUAGAGACAUUCUCAGAAAGAGCUUGCAGCUUCUGCAACCGAACUGCCCCAUGUCACCUCUUCAUUCUGCACAGACUGAACCGUGAAAAUGGCAACAGAAGAUGUUAUUAAUACUCAGUGUGGCUAUGAUGCAAGGCAAAAACCAGAAGUUGAUCAGCAGAUUGUUAUCUACACUAAAGGCUGCGUCCCUCAGUUUGAGAAAUGGUUGCAGGACAACCUUACCAUAGUUGCUGGUAUAUUCAUUGGGAUAGCAUUACUGCAGAUAUUUGGGAUAUGCUUAGCCCAGAAUUUGGUUAGUGACAUUGAGGCUGUCAGAGCCAGCUGGUAAAACUGCUGAAGUAACCACAACAAGACACUGGACAACCGAAACCCUCUGAAACCUCCAGUGUGUCACUCCGACACCAAGCUGUAUGGACAUGGGUGACAGGGAAGCCUUCUCUCCUGAGCAGUCUCAAGUCUAAGUUCCUGAUAUUGCAGUGAACUUGUGUUUCUUUGGGGUGGGGGAGAGAAGAGUGGGCUAUUGAAAAUCUGCUGCUCACUGACAAUUUUUUCUUUUAAACCACCACUUUGAAAGCUGUUGAGCCGUGAAUCUCUACUGUAUUCUUGAUUUUGAGUAACAAGUGGACACUUUUUUAAAUUGGUGUGUUCAGUGAGACAGAGUUGCGUUGUUGUAGUCUGUGGAUAUGCUGUUUAUUCUUCAUGUCAUGAGCUCUUUGAUAGCUGCCAAAUAUUCCUGAGAUGGUCUAUCUCCUCACCACUCUGUAAAGGAACAAUCUUCUUGUUUUCACAGCUAAACAUAGCUACAGGCCUAAACCCAUGAAGCAGGAAGCAACUUUCUAUGCAUCUAUUGUACAGUAAAAGAAAUUGUUUUUAAAACAAGGGAAUUUUUUUUUAUGCAAGCUUCCAACUAUCUCCCUAUAGUACAUUGAGGUUGGAAUCAGCAGAAGGGAGAAUUGCUUAAUUUUGUCAAGAUCUUUUUUCCUUCUCCACCCUUGUGUGAAGGGAAAGGAGUUUUAUAUUUGACAAAAAGGGUUGCUGCCAUACCUUUGGAUAUCAGUCUCUUAAGGCAAGGAUGGGAUAUGACUGUAUAAAUGUAUGAAAGCAGUGUAGAUGUUGGGUCCAAGUGAAGAAUAAUAUUCAAAGAAUGAAUUAUAUAUUAACUUAAAAAAAGUCAAAACUUAUGUAUCUGAUAUGGCAAAAUCUUUUGUUUCUCUGAAAUUUAGUGUAACCUAAUGUAUUUAGGGAUCUCACUAAUAUUAAUGCUUUGACAUACUUGUGCGAAGCUUGUUUCUUUGGUCUGUUCCUAGUUGGGGCUUUGGUCUUUCUUUUUUUCCCUUUUUCUUUUCUUUAAUUCUUUUUACCUGCAUGAGCUGUGGAAUAAGAAUCUGUGACACUCCAGUGCUUUAAAUAUGUGCAUAUGUUUUAAUUCAGUCUAAUCCAAACUUAUUUAUUGAUAAAUGCAUGUGAUUAUGGAAAGAUCAUAUCCCAUUCUCUUGGAAGUUGGAGAGAACAGUUUUUGCCAGAGUAAAUGCUUACCUCCAGUGACCUAAUCCAUGCUAUGGAGAUGUGUCUCCCUUUCUUGCUCUAAAGGCAACAAGAGCUUUCUUGAAGCAACAGAGUAAAAGUCUUUAAAUAGAAGCAUUUAUUAGAUCAGUUAAGACAGACCCUUUUGAAUUGGACACAAGAAAGCAGAAUGUGGAAAAAAGCACAAACAGUAGAAGAAGACUUCAAUCAGGCUCCAUCCAGCUUAGCGCUUUUGAUUUGUUCUUCUUCACUAAUAAUAGAGAACCUAAAGACCUGACCAUGGCUUGGUUAAUUUAUUGCACUUUGUAUAAAUUUACCAUGUUUUAUGACCCUUCUCAGUAUCUCCAUACCAGUCCUGAAAGCUGUGGUCCUGCUUUGGUCAGACAGUGGCAAAGGGUGUGUAGCACCUUGGUAAGGACGUAACAUCUUUCUGAGCUGAGUUUCCUGAAACAGGAGGUAUAUGGAGUAGAGAAGAGGAACACAUUGCUUUCAAAGCUCUCCUAUUUUGGGGGAUGGAUAGAAGGCUGAUUUGAUGACUUGUCAAGGCCCUUUCUGGUCCUGUGACUCUUAAACAAAUGAACAUAUGUACCCUUGCACAUUAUGCCUUUCUGUGCUUUAGUUGGCUGUGGUUUUUCUCCCCUCUGGAGGCUGGUGAUGGGUACGCCAGUGCUUCACAGAUGCCUCAGACAGACCCGUUGUCCUCCCAUCUUUGAGCAUUACCUCAUCCUCUUCUGGUUAACUCCCACUGACUGGCUCUGAAUCAGGCAGCCUCCAUAUCCUUUGGUAUCUGCUGUUAAAGGCUAGCCAUGACUCAGAGUAUUUUUAAAGCCUUUCAAAGUAAUUAUAACUCAUUGUCCUUAAUAAAGUUGGUUCCACCUCAGCACAGUGUUAUGUUUUUCUUAGCCACUCCUUGACUUGAGGAGUUACUAGUUGUUUUCCCCUAGAGGGACAUACCGUUUUGCAUGAUAGUAGCAGGACAGACAGAUCAUCAGCACCAGUGUUGCUGCACUGAGACAAAAUGGUGCAGGGAGGAAUCAGGGGAGUGGGGUUGAGGAAAUAACCCCUCCACCAAAGAGCCUUGAUGGUGAUCCCAGGCUUUGGUUUGGAGGGAAAACAAAGAGCCUAAUUACAGAAACAUUCCUUGUUGCCGCUGAUCUUGAAUACUGCUGUUGCUGCUCUGAGCUUAUGAAGGUAGCUUCGUUCUUCUACUUGAAUCUCUGCAGUUGUACUGUAUUGGCCUUCUGUCUUGUCAUGCUGUUCUCUGAGUUCCAGUCUGCUGGCUGUGCUGUUGGCAGUGGCAGACUGAUAGGAGGGUAAAUGCUCCAAGCUGAGCAAUUCUUGUUCUCACGACUUGCACGUCUACACACAAAUGUGCAACACUUCUGAAUCCCGGAAUGACUGACUGUUCUUAAAAAAACCACUAAAUAACUUACUUUUCUAGAGCUUGUCUUUUUUGCUGCGGAUGUUGAUCCUUCUCCCUUUUUUUUUUUUUUUUUUUGUUCCCAAGAGAUACUUAUUUACUCAUUUUUGCAUUGUUUUGAUGGAUGUGCAAUGAAUGUUUAGGAUUAGCUGUCUGUUACACAUUUAAAUCCCACUUUUUUGUCUACAGAUCAGGUAAGAUGUCCUAGAAAUGUCCCAUCAACAUCUACUCAGCAGCUUAGGUGUCCAGUUUGGAAAGCUUGUGGGAGGCCUUGGAAAUCAAUGUAUUAUUGUCAGAGCCUGGCAAAUAUAAGCAAACUUUCUCCCAGGAAACUUAGAAAAGUUCACAUGAGCUGCAACUAAAGCACAACUGCUGGCUACAUGGGCUUAGUGUCUAAAGCAAUAAGAUGUGGUAGGCACUAGGAUUCCAUGGCAAUUUCUAGCCUGCCUGAUGUGGUGGUGGGGUAGAUGUGAGUUCAGAGAUCAGUCUAAUUAUCUUUAAUGUGCAGUAGUUGUUCAUAAAUUUGUUGUCAGGCUUAUGGAGUGGGAAACAGCUCUGUUUACUGAGUAGUGGCAUUACUAACGAGGACUCUGGUAGCUCAGCAGCAGCACUGGCUUUAAAGCUAUUUCCAUAUAUCCCAUUGGGCCCUGCCAGAGGGCAUCACAGUCCUUGCUCCUCUGCUUUCUAAAUACCCUCUGUAUUCACAGUCCUUUCUGUUGUUUGGGUUUGUUUUGUUUUGUUUUGUUUUUUUUUAAAAAUUUUUAUUAAUAGCCUAAUGGACAAAUGUUUGAUUAAUCUCUUUGUGUCUGUUUUGGUAGCAGUAGUAUCUCUAUGCUUAAAAUCCAUAAUUUUGAUUGUGCCCCUUAGAGUUUGAAGCUGUGGGGGUGCUUGCUCAAGUGUACUCUGUCCUGAAAGCCUUCUUCUCUCCCCUUUGAGAGAGAUGCUCAUUGUAGUUCUGGUGUGUAAAUAGUGUUUGAAAUGUAAAUAGUAGCAUGCAGAUUAAAUGAUUCUUGCACAUGACUGCUUUUCCCCCUGAAAGUGUUUAUUAUGGAGAUGAAAGGUGUCUGCCAGGAGAGUUUGCUGGUGAAUUCUGAGUGGCUGUCUGGGCUGUCCCUCGCCCUGAUGGAGCAGCAGGAGUGCGUCAGCUGCCCAUGCUCGCGUGUCUACCCAGUGAGUGGGUGGCUGCACCUGAGGAAGGUGAAGCCCUGGCCAUCCCUUUGGGCCCUUGUUAGUGGCAGGGCCUUCCUUGCCUUUUCCCUUUGCUGCUUGGCAUUAGAACAGCAUUAGACUCUAAAGUGGAGAGUAGGUGGCAGAACCUCCUACCAGUUAUGGGAGGUUGCCAUCACUUGUGGCAGGACUAAAUAUGGUGCUAUAAGAACUGACCUGGACAUCAAUCUGUGUUUUCAGUACUUUAGAGAUGCCCUUGUUAAAAUUGGUCUUGAUUAAUAUGGCUGGUUAUGAGAGAAACUAUUGGCUGAAUUUUUGAUUCUGUUUCCCUUUUUGUUGUGUAUGUAUUUUGGGUGCAUUGAAAUAGCAGUUUUGCAAAGGACUGUCCUUGGAAGGACAGUAGACCUCAAAAGGCGUCAUGCACUGCUGAAUGUCCCAGUUCCUAACAUUUUUGUUUUUUCUCUGCAUCUUUUUCAGAUACCUGUAACAGGUGAUGAAACUGUGUAAAACAAAUGAACCAAUACUACCCCGAUCCAUUAGCUACCAAAUUUGCCCCUUGAAAAAAAGAAAUAAAAGAAAUCUGUCACCCUUAACAUGCAGUAUACGAAGAAGUGUUGUACUACUAGCGUGCAAGAGGCAGCACUGCUAGCUGUCUUUUGUGUUUUGGCAAUUUAAGUGUGCUAAUAAAAAGCUCCAUCUAUAUGUGUGUUCAUGUUCAUGCUCUGUAUGUAAUAGAGAUGGACCUUGAGCUCUGGGGAGACUGGGAUGUGGGUUUGUGACUCAGAGCCAUUUCUGAUACUUAUAUUCCAGAUAAGUUCCAGCUGAGUCUUUCUCUCGUUCAUCUGAAGGUGUACAGCAAGGUGUCAAUAUUUACCCUUUGUGUAUCAUUCCUUUUUAUACGAAUGUAUUCUCUUGUGUUCCUUUUUUAUCAGUUGUAAAAUUGAUUGUAAAAGCCAACUACACUUACCGAUUGAAAGUAUUGCUAUAACAGAACUGCAUGCCCAGUAGAGUUUGACUUGAGCUUUAGUUUUCUGAUUUCAGACUGGUUCCCUUCAGUCUAGGAGAAAAGCAUAGAUGAGGUGCAUAAUGUAUUACUUGUCAUCUUUAGCGUUAGACUGUGGUAUUGUAUCACAUGCUGAUCUCAAUGGAUGUAACUGGAGUCUACUUAGGAAGUUAAUGCAACUUCCUGGUAAUUCAUUUUAAGCUAUUGAAAAUGGUCUUGGUCAUGCUACUUGUGUUCUUGGGUUUUUGUUUUUUAAUAGAGGCAUUUUUUAGGAAUGUUUUAAUACACUUAUGAUGGACAAUACAAUAGUUUUAAUAGUUGUGCAGUAUUCUGUAUUUACUUGAAGUAAAUCAUUUUAUAUGCAAUUUGUUAGAUAAUUACAAUUUUAUAAAUAAAAUUGUGUGAAAUA